rnacentral:rRNA from 3 species
CCUGCCCAGUGACUAUAUGUUCAACGGCCGCGGUAUCCUGACCGUGCAAAGGUAGCAUAAUCAUUUGCCUUUUAAUUGGAGGCUAGUAUGAAUGGGAAGACGUAGAUUUAACUGUUUCUAUUUUAUAUAUAAAACUUAAACUUUAGGUGAAGAUGCCUAACUUUAAUAGAAAGACAAGAAGACCCUAUAGAGUUUUCUUUGGUUGGGGCGACCUAGGAUUUUAUAAAACAUCCUAAUAGAAAGAUUUCUAAAUCUUCUAAAUAGACCCAAAAAGGAUUAUCAGAAUUAACUACCUUAGGGAUAACAGGCUUAUCUUCCUAGAGAGCUCUUAUUGAUAGGAUGGUUUGGCACCUCGAUGUUGGCUUAGAGUAACUAAAUGCCGCAGCAGGCAUUAAAAGUCAGUUUGUUCAACUGUUAAUUCUCU